GUGGGGAAUUUUGGACAAUGGGGGCAACCCUGAUCCAGCAAUGCCGCGUGCAGGAAGAAGGCCUUCGGGUUGUAAACUGCUUUUGUACGGAACGAAACGGUCCUGGUUAAUACCUGGGGCUAAUGACGGUACCGUAAGAAUAAGCACCGGCUAACUACGUGCCAGCAGCCGCGGUAAUACGUAGGGUGCAAGCGUUAAUCGGAAUUACUGGUCGUAAAGCGUGCGCAGGCGGUUUUGUAAGACAGGCGUGAAAUCCCCGGGCUCAACCUGGGAAUGGCGCUUGUGACUGCAAGGCUGGAGUGCGGCAGAGGGGGAUGGAAUUCCGCGUGUAGCAGUGAAAUGCGUAGAUAUGCGGAGGAACACCGAUGGCGAAGGCAAUCCCCUGGGCCUGCACUGACGCUCAUGCACGAAAGCGUGGGGAGCAAACAGGAUUAGAAACCCCAGUAGUCC
rnacentral:rRNA from 1 species